UGAGAAGAGCCUGCCUGUCUCGUGAC
rnacentral:piRNA from 1 species